UCCCUCCCUCUGCCUCACUUUAUCUUCCUCUCUCACUCUCAUAUUUCGCAUAAAGGAGUCACAUUUCACUGAAGAAGAGGAAUCAAGACUUCACCUCUUCCUCCUUCUUCUUCAACAGUCCCGUUCCCUUCACUCUCUCUCUCUCUCUCUGCUGUCAUCUUUUCUCCUCCCAUCUCUGCAUCACACUUGGAUUCACUCCGUUUCCUUCUGCCUGCUUCCCAAACUUAUUUUACUUUGCUCUCACAGUUUUUCCCUUCCUGCAGACUUAUUUACUUUUUGUUUUGCAUCUGAAGAAACAGAUUUUUUUUAAUGUUUGAAGACUUUUCCUUCUCUCCUAAACCAGAGGAAAGAUUCAGUUUGUCAACCCAAAGCGCUCAUCCCCAGUGUCGAGGAGACCCCCGCAGGAGAAACCAGAGCACUGCAGCGAGAGCCAAAGCACUGCGGUCACCUCCCCUUCCAGUGCGGUGCCACACCCCACACCUCGCCACCCUCUGCACCUCACUGUGCAAAUCUGAGCCGGAAUCAAGAUUCAUGGGAAUCCUCUGAACUCCAGCUGUGUUUCUCCCUUCUACCUGAUCUACAGCCAACAAUCAAACAAGUAGGAACAUCGGUUCUCUGGAAGUGAGUGACCUCUGACCUCCUACGAAACAUAAACAGCUGGAUUCAACGGUAGACGUUGUGCAACCAGAAACAAAGACAUGUUGAUUCAACUUUUACACCGUUUCCAUUUUACAAACACUUUCUUUUUCAAAAAUAAAAAUCUUAAAAGUGUGGCCUGCAUUUGUGUUCAAUACCCAUCAAUGAUUGAUUGAAAACUACAAAGUAAAACUACAAUCCCAACAAGCUCCAGAGUUAUUAAAAUACAAAACAUUAAAAAUACAAAAUAUGUUCAAAUCUCCUGCAAAUGGUCGAAAAAUGAGAGACACGACCUUUAGAGAAGGGAAGGAGGGGAGAAAGGAUGGAAGGAAGAAAGAGAGAGAGAAAAAAAGAAGAAAGCUAACAUGAAGGUGAAUGAAAUAACACGUUUAAAUUUUUAACUUUCAAAGGAUGAAAACCUGAUUUAGUGGAUGAAAGUAAACCAGUUCAGUUCGUCGGUAAAAAUGUUUCUCUGGUUUUAGAAAAUAUUUCCUGCAAUCAUAAUGUCAAACUAAUCAAUAUUUCCAGAACAAACCUGGAAAUAAUUCAGUGAGUUAUACAGCAGGACGGUCACAGGUUGGUUCUGGUGUUUCUUCCCUUUGAACUGGUCUGACCUGAAGGUUCUGACUCGGUUCUGGAUCCAGUUCAUGUCGACAGAGGAGAACUUUCUGGACUUUCCUCAGUUUUCAUUAUUCAUGCUGGACGCAGAUUCUCCAGCUGCUGCAGGCUCACAAACGCUGCACUCUGAUUGGAUGUCAAAAUGUUUCAGUUUAAUCAAAUACAUUUCUAUGAUUUAAAUCAUAAAAAUCUAAACUUACAGCUCAAACGUCUUCAGAUUAAAGCUGCAAUAAGACCAGAGUUGGGAAGUAACUAGUUACAUUUAUUCAACUAUAUUUACUUUUUUUGCAAAAAUGUCCUAGUUCUAGUUCCACGGGCAGAUAAAUUCACUUUUACAUGGGAAACAUCUUAUUAUAAGUGAAUUGAUCUGCCAAUGGAACCAGCACUUUUCCAUCAAUAUUAAAGGAAUUAUUUACUUAAAAUAAGCAGCUACUGUAUAUCUUGCUGAAAAGUUUCUUUGUCUUAUAGAUAUUUGCAGUAGAAACUAGACCAAAAAUCCUUGGUAAGGUUUCGUGUUUUGUCGUCUGCUGCUUCUCUUACUCCUGUGGAAUAACUGGAAGCUUUAAAAACAUCUGAGACAUUUUAUUAAACAAAACCUGCAGAACAGAUUUAAUCUGUAAUGAUCUGACAAGGUCAAAGGUCAUACGAGACAACGUACAGAUGUUGCUGCGGAACAUAAAAGCUGCACCUGCAUAUAAACACAUUUUAAUAAACAUAUUCCAUCCAUAAUGUUUGUUUCUGCCUGCGAGGCACAGAGUGGUUCUGUUACAAAGGCCGCAGCUGAAAACGAGUCCAGACCGAGUUCUGUCCUCUCCGAUCCGGAGACGCUCCGUCCUCCUCCUCUCUCCUCCGUCCUCCUCCGUCCUCCUCCGUCCUCCUCCG